rnacentral:rRNA from 1 species
GUGAACGCUGGCGGUAGGCCUAACACAUGCAAGUCGAACGGCAGCACAGUAAGAGCUUGCUCUUACGGGUGGCGAGUGGCGGACGGGUGAGGAAUACAUCGGAAUCUACUUUUUCGUGGGGGAUAACGUAGGGAAACUUACGCUAAUACUGCAUACGACCUACGGGUGAAAGCAGGGGAUCUUCGGACCUUGCGCGAUUGAAUGAGCCGAUGUCGGAUUAGCUAGUUGGCGGGGUAAAGGCCCACCAAGGCGACGAUCCGUAGCUGGUCUGAGAGGAUGAUCAGCCACACUGGAACUGAGACACGGUCCAGACUCCUACGGGAGGCAGCAGUGGGGAAUAUUGGACAAUGGGCGCAAGCCUGAUCCAGCCCUACCGCGUGGGUGAAGAAGGCCUUCGGGUUGUAAAGCCCUUUUGUUGGGAAAGAAAAGCAGCAGGUUAAUACCCCGCUGUUCUGACGGUACCCAAAGAAUAAGCACCGGCUAACUUCGUG